CCGAAGAGAAGCUUCCCUGAGCCGGCCACAGCCAUUUCUCAUUAAACCCCCAAUUUAAGCGAGAUCCGGAGUGGAAAAUUGCAAAACAGGAAGCCUGCAAAUUGCAUGAAAGCAAUAUUAUUAGACCUGGGAGUAAAGAUCCUUUAUAAUGCAGACUUUGGGGAUGAGACCUAGAAUCUCUAGGUGGAAUCUAGGGCUUUGUGCGUAGACUCCUAGGAACUGGCUUUUCUUCCUGAAGUCACUAUGGAGUGUCCUGCAGAUACUUGUGCAGUAACCCAAACUUUGAAGAGAUGUAUGCGGACUAAAGAAAAGAAAAAUGUAUCUAAAAAUCUCUGCUGAAUUCAUUCAUUCAUGUGUGUAGAAGCCAGAGUUCCUUGCUUGCUGCUAUGGUGAUCAGAGCCAGGCCCAGGAUGAGACAGCACUUCAUUGGCAGCAACAUCUACACACUUGGGACAGGACUGUGUGUAACAAAAUCAGCAGAGCCCUGUGACAGUAAUGCAAAAAGCAUAUUAUUUUCAUUCUACAAAAUAUUCGUAGCAGCUCUUUGACCUCUUUCCCCCUUAAAGAUUGGGGUGAAAAUGAAAUUGAACAUAUAAGAUUGUGAAAUAUGUAUCCUAUCAGUGAUGUCAGAGAAAGAUCAACCAUGUGUUAAUUGAAAUGGGUUGGCUUUGUGGAACAGAUACAUGGGCUGGCUCUUGAAAUGUAAGUUUUCAACAAGCGGAGAAAAGCAAAAUGCUAUACAGGUGGAAGCAAUAGAUUGAAUAAUCAAGGUGCAAAAAUUCAAGACUUACAAAGGUUUGGUUUGCAAUGGUGGUUUGCAAGAGAAUGGAGGCCCAGAAAGAGGACAAACUGGAGAGGCAGACAGGUCAAGAUAUGAAAGUGUUAGUUUUAUACCACAGAGGCUAUCCUCGCCUCAGCAUUCAUUCCUAAAACGAGAUGCUAUAUACUUACUGGGCCCUCCGCACUGCAGUAAGCACUGGGAAUACCAAUAUAAAAUUAUCAUCUUGGAGAUGAGGAAGAAAUUUACAGAACUAAGACGUUAUAGGUUACACUGCUGAAGUCUGUAUCAGAAACAAUAGGUAAAAGGAGGAUAAAUGAGAACAGCUCUGUAGGGUUUAGGAUAUCUUCAGAAAAAAAAAGUUGGAGAAAUUAGCAUUGCUGGGCCAGGAGCAUGACUGCAGAUACAUCCUGGAAGGAUGGAUCCCCUUCACUGCAGCGUGUGUGGAAAGGGGAGUAAUACACUGUGUGGACACUGCAAGCGUCCCAGAUGGCCGGUCACUGUAUGGAGCACAAACUGCAGAGGUGGAAAGGAAGACAUUGGUGAAGCUGGCUGAUCAUUGAACCAGGAAAAUGGACUUUGGAGUCAAACAGUCCUACAGUUGAAGGUUGGUGCCUCAUUUAGCAGCCUUGGGAACAAGAGCAAGUUAAUUAACCUCUCUGCACCUCAAUUUCCUGAUAUCCAAAAUGAGAACAUGCACACCAUCUCAGAAGUUGGUGAUGAAGACCAAAAGUCAUGGUGGAGGCCAAACCACCCGCGUGAUGCUGACCACAAAGGCACUCAGUGAAGAAGGAUGCCUUUGUACUUGAGUCCACCUCUGGAAGUGAGAUCAAUUACAGACCUGUAUAGUAGCAGAAAAGCUGAUUUCCAAUAAACCAGGAAAGCCAAACUGCUCCAUUGAAGAGAAGGAACUUUUGUUUUGGAUAUAGCUUUAAGGAGAAAAAUGAUUUCUUUUCAAAUUAACUUGAAUAUAUCUAAUAUUCAGAUGCUGGCUAUAACCAUCCUUGAAAUUGUUUCAGAAAAUUCCAGCAGUAACCAAGUAGAAAUUGAGGAAUGACUGUCACACCACUUAUCUGUGAACUUUCUGUUCUGAAACUGACUGUAACUGUUUUGUUUUAUUUCACAGUUUCCCAUUUAGAAUGUGGCUGAGCUAAUGCACUUCACAUAACUGUAUCCUGUGUGGUUUUUAAUUUCUAUUUAAGUACUAAUAUAUUACACAUUUCCUUGCAUUAGAUGUAACCAGUAUAGUUUCAUUAUAUAAAGAUACAAAACAAAUGAUCCACAAAGGCAGCUGCUUCUAAAUAGUUGGGUGACCCUAGACAAUUUCAUUAUUUUCCUGGGCCUUCAGCUGAGAAAAUAGGUUUAAUGAUGCUCACAUUGUUAUGGAAAUUAAUAGUGAGAAGGAUUGUACACAAAUAAAUUAAAAUUAAUUGUUGGUGGAAUGAUGUACACAAAUUUUCUGGCAAAAAUUCUUUUCCCAGUGUCUUGUAGUGAGAUGACAUAAUAGUUUAGAUUCUGAAUAUAGCAUUAUACUUAAAGUGCUUUCUUUGCAUUAACUCAGUCUUCUUAAGAACUCAUUGAAUGAAGAAUUGUGAUUGUGAUUAUUGUGAUUAUUCCUAUUUUAAAGAAGAUGAGACUGAGGCACAGAGCAAUUAAGGAAUUUGCUAAGGUCAUUUACAACAAAGUAGGGUUAAAUUCAUGAAACAGGUCCCAGAGACUGAAAACAUACACUUCUCAUAGCCUUUGUCAAAUUUGUGUUUAUGGGUUCACGACAUAAACACGUUUGGAUGAUUCCAUAUGUCUAUGAUCCAUGAAUCUUUGUACAAAGUGCAGGACAGAAAUUUAAACAUUCUUUUCAUUUGAGUUUCUUUACUCGUACCAAGUCAUAAAAAUGCCUUCCCAACUAUCUUCCCCUACUUUGGUAAAUCUCUUAAUUUAACUAAGAAUGUGAGAAAAACAAAAUCAGUUUUCUAAAUCUCAAAUGAAUUGUUCCACACUCCCGUUGGAGAGGGUCUUGCAUCCCUUCCUAACCCUGGAUUCCAGACGACAAUGAAGGCAUGAUAUUGACAUUGUGUGAUGCUGAUGUUGCAAAUUCCAGUUCCUCCCACUGAAAUAUUGAAUCUGUGUAUAAAUAGGUGUCUCCCUUAUCAUCUUGACUUUCUCAAACAUGAAUAUCCAGGUGUUGAAAACCAGUUCCUCCCCUUGGUUUUCAUAUACAUGUGCCUGCACGCACACACCACACACAUAUUCCCAUUCACAGAGACACACUGCAUGUACUUUACUGUAAUUUACAUGUAACUCACGUGCUUUACUGAAGACUUGGAUAAACAAAGGGAAUUGUAGCAAAUAAAUGUCAAAAAAUUAACACAAUGUAAAAUGAAUGUCACAUAAUUUUUUUCUAUUAAGCAGGGCUGAGCCAGACAGUUCACUCCUCCUCCCAUCCACCUACUCGUAUCCUCACUAGUGAAAAACAUUACACUUUUUGCACAGCAAUUAAGUUCCACCUUCACUCUUUAAUAUCCCUGUAACUUCCCUGAGAACUUCCUGUUUUACUCAUCACCACAGGAAAAAUUCUAAAGCCCGGUGGGCGGGUGGUCUGCUUUCACCCCACUACAUUGUAUCAAUACUGUCUACAACCUUAGUGAGCAAUGCAUGUCUGUAAACAGCUAACCUUUACUCUUAAGGAACAAAUUCUUACAUCCUACCUUAAUUCUCCCUCUUACUUCUGGGGGCAACUGAUUCGAGUCCUUCAUGUAGAAAUCCAGAGGACAAGAUUCACGAACCUGAUCUGAUAAUUCAUUCUAGAGACUUUCAUUCUAGAGAUUCCCUGUUUCUUGGUGAGAAAGCUGUGACCAAGGAGGGGUCUCAGCACCACAGAGGUGGAAAGGAAAAGGGUGCCAGUGUGUGCGUGGUUGGGGAAGUGGGCAGAGCUUUGGUGGCACCUCUGGGUAAUAAAUCAGAGAAAGUAGCAUGCAGGGAAUGACCUGUAGCUUGGCUGGGCAGAUAUUUGUGCACUUCAAGAAUAAUCUAGAAGUUGAGUAUGGUGGUACAUGCUUAUAAUGCCAACAGUCAAGGAGGCUCAGGCAAAAAGAUGGCAAAUUUGAGUCCAGACUGAGCAACUUAGUGAGUCUUUAUCUCAAAAUAAAAGUUAAAAAAUACCCAAGGAUGUAGCUCAGUGCAAAGGCCCUGAGUUAAAUUUUCAGUACAAAAAAAAAAAAAAAAAAGUGAAAGAGAUUUAUUGAAAU